rnacentral:lncRNA from 1 species
CUCAUUCUUCAUUCCAGACAGCCUCUCCUGGGAGAGCAAGCAGCCCAGAGCCAACCACAACAAAGAAGCACCAGUUACCUUCCUUAAAAGAAAUUCCUGGAUAAUGUGGAUGAGAACGGAGGCUAACAGAAAGAUGUUUGGUGUGAUAAAUCUCCUGAAAAGAACCUGAUGCUGGCCAGCACCCCAGCAUCACUCUUCCUGGAAGCCCAAGAAAUCACAGUUUCUGGAAUCAAAAAGUACAAAGAGUACCGAGGGCCACCAUCAAGUGAGCAGCCCAACCUAUUCUCCCUGACAUGAUGAGUGCAGAACCAGUGGUCGUAGAUUAAACUCUCUGAAACUUUAUUAAUUCUGUUGCCAUCUGUUUCAAAGCCAGUAAAGGACAAAGGAUAAAUGUUUACCUUUCAAGGAACAAAAGAGACAGGCAUGCCAGCAACUGAAAGCUCUGGAGGGGAAGCAACCCCAGUGCGGAACCUUGACUUUGGCCUGUGUUGUGCUGCAGUUGUAAAUUGCCCACCUUACUGCCUGAGGUGCCAUUCCAGAGAACAAGCA